rnacentral:RNase_P_RNA from 1 species
GCAGUCGGCCGGUCUGUCGCUCGUCCUUCGCACACGCUGCGGGGAGGGGAGGAAAGUCCGGGCAACACAGAGCGCCAUGCUUCCUAACGGGAAGCUGUCCGCGAGGGCAGAGCAGUGUAACAGAAAAUAACCGCCGCCGCGCGCCGGUGUGCAAGCGGGCGGUAAGGGUGAAAAGGCGAGGUAAGAGCUCACCGCUUCCGUGGCGACGCGGGAGGCUGUACGCCUGAUGGGUUGUAAGGUCAUGUAUACCGGCGAAUCAGAGUGGCUCGCUCGAUGCCGGGGGGUAGACCGCACGAGCUUGCCGGCGACGGCAGGCCGAGAUGAAUGGCAGACGCCCUGCCGCCCACAGGGGGUGGCGGGGAACAGAACCCGGCUUACAGGCCGACUGCAUCU